ensembl:snRNA U6 U6 spliceosomal RNA
AUGCUCACCUUGGCAGCAUAUAUACUAAAAAUUGGAACAAUACAGAAAACAUUAGCAUGGUCCCUACGCAAGGAUGACAUGCAAACUUGUGAAGCAUUUCAUAUUUAA